rnacentral:rRNA from 1 species
GAUGAACGCUGGCGGCGUGCCUAAUACAUGCAAGUCGAGCGAACGGACGAGAAGCUUGCUUCUCUGAUGUUAGCGGCGGACGGGUGAGUAACACGUGGAUAACCUAACUAUAAGACUGGGAUAACUUCGGGAAACCGGAGCUAAUACCGGAUAAUAUUUUGAACCGCAUGGUUCAAAAGUGAAAGGCGGUCUUGCUGUCACUUAUAGAUGGAUCCGCGCUGCAUUAGCUAGUUGGUAAGGUAACGGCUUACCAAGGCAACGAUGCAUAGCCGACCCGAGAGCGACAUUGCCUACAUGAUAUGUGAGGCUCGUCCGCCACACCUGCAGGGGGCAACAGUAGGGAAUCCUCCGCGAGGGGCCAGUGGCUGAUGUUGCAACGUCGGGGAAGGCAUGAAGCAGCUCGGAUCGGAAAGCUAUGUUAGUAUUAAAGAUGAUAUGUUCAAUUAACUGGGCACAUCUUGACGGUACCGAAACAGAAAGCCACGGCUAACUACGUG